AUGUGAACUUGGUCUUCAUUGGCACCACCACUAUUGGCACUUUCACCGCCAAUCGUCCUACUGUGAGGAGCCCAAUCCAGGCUGCGGGCUAAAACUGACUUGGACCAGUUUGGGAGAUUCACUAUCACAGAUGAUCAUAAAAGCUCAGCAAGGAGCAUCUCGAGACCAAAUGAAGAGGAGGCAGUCGGAGCCUUGCAAAGUGUAACACUGUGCACUCGGCAGCACUCACCACCCACACAUGCAGUGUGAGAACGCGUCUGCCCGCUUGAACGCUGGGAAACUGAGAGGCAGAUCUGAGGGGAUUGCAGCAGCAAAGAGGAGGAAUAAAUUGGAAAAAAGGACAAAUCGAUGUUUGGAGGAGGGAGCGACAAACAGACCCUCCAACCUCUUGACCACACACACACUCACACACACUACACACUCACACACACACACACCUUAAGUUAGCACGUU